GGACUACUGGGGUAUCUAAUCCUGUUUGCUCCCCACGCUUUCGCUCCUCAGCGUCAAUAUUAGGCCAGUAAGUCGCCUUCGCCACUGGUGUUCUUUCCGAUAUCUACGCAUUUCACCGCUACACCGGAAAUUCCACUUACCUCUCCUAUAUUCUAGUCACACAGUCUUUAAGGACCUCCACAGGUUAAGCCCAUGGAUUUCACCUCAAUCUUAUCUAACCGCCUACGUGCUCUUUACGCCCAGUCAUUACGAUUAACGCUUGCACCCUCUGUAUUACCGCGGCUGCUGGCAC
rnacentral:rRNA from 1 species